GAUGAACGCUGGCGGCGUGCAUAAUACAUGCAAGUCGAACGCUUUGUGGUUCAACUGAUUUGAAGAGCUUGCUCAGAUAUGACGAUGGACAUUGCAAAGAGUGGCGAACGGGUGAGUAACACGUGGGAAACCUACCUCUUAGCAGGGGAUAACAUUUGGAAACAGAUGCUAAUACCGUAUAACAAUGACAACCGCAUGGUUGUUAUUUAAAAGAUGGUUCUGCUAUCACUAAGAGAUGGUCCCGCGGUGCAUUAGCUAGUUGGUAAGGUAAUGGCUUACCAAGGCGAUGAUGCAUAGCCGAGUUGAGAGACUGAUCGGCCACAAUGGGACUGAGACACGGCCCAUACUCCUACGGGAGGCAGCAGUAGGGAAUCUUCCACAAUGGGCGAAAGCCUGAUGGAGCAACGCCGCGUGUGUGAUGAAGGGUUUCGGCUCGUAAAACACUGUUGUAAGAGAAGAAUGACAUUGAGAGUAACUGUUCAAUGUGUGACGGUAUCUUACCAGAAAGGAACGGCUAAAUACGUGCCAGCAGCCGCGGUAAUACGUAUGUUCCAAGCGUUAUCCGGAUUUAUUGGGCGUAAAGCGAGCGCAGACGGUUAUUUAAGUCUGAAGUGAAAGCCCUCAGCUCAACUGAGGAAUUGCUUUGGAAACUGGAUGACUUGAGUGCAGUAGAGGAAAGUGGAACUCCAUGUGUAGCGGUGAAAUGCGUAGAUAUAUGGAAGAACACCAGUGGCGAAGGCGGCUUUCUGGACUGUAACUGACGUUGAGGCUCGAAAGUGUGGGUAGCAAACAGGAUUAGAUACCCUGGUAGUCCACACCGUAAACGAUGAGUGCUAGGUGUUUGAGGGUUUCCGCCCUUAAGUGCCGCAGCUAACGCAUUAAGCACUCCG
rnacentral:rRNA from 1 species